UCGGCAUUUCAGCGCCGGCAGGGUGCUGAGGAUCAGGCGCCCCUCAGCCGCAGGCCGCCUCCAGCGCCGGGGGAUGUAGUGCCCGGGCCCGCGGCCCCCAUCAGAGGCAGCCAGCCAGGCCUGUCCUCAUCACAGGAAGAUCUCUGCCCUCUGGGGCUGAAAGACUCCAACCUUUCCUCAAGCUGAAGCUUCAAGGCACUGAAGUACCAGCCAGAUGUCUUCCCACAAAGGAUCUGCUGUGGCACAGGGCAAUGGGGCUCCUUCUAUUAACAGAGAAGCUGACACAGUGAAGCUGGCUGAGCUGGGACCCCUGCUGGAGGAGAAGGGCAAGCGGGAAGCCACGAGCCCAGCCAAGGCUGAAGAAGAACAGACAUGCUCAGUGCCACAAGAAGAGGAGGAGGAGGUGCGGGUACUGACGCUUCCUCUGCAAGCCCACCAUGCCAUGGAGAAGGUGGAGGAGUUCGUAUAUAAGGUCUGGGAGGGACGCUGGAGGGUCCCGUAUGAUGUGCUUCCUGACUGGCUGAAAGACAAUGACUACCUGCUACAUGGCCACAGACCACCUAUGCCCUCCUUCCAGGCUUGCUUCAAGAGCAUCUUCCGCAUCCACACAGAAACGGGCAACAUCUGGACACAUCUGCUUGGUUUUGUGCUAUUUCUCUUUCUGGGAAUCUUGACCAUGCUCAGACCAAAUAUGUACUUCAUGGCUCCCCUACAGGAGAAGGUGGUCUUUGGGAUGUUCUUCCUGGACGCAGUGCUUUGCCUCAGCUUCUCCUGGCUCUUCCACACCGUCUAUUGUCAUUCAGAAAAGGUCUCUAGGACUUUUUCCAAACUGGACUAUUCAAGGAUUGCUCUACUGAUCAUGGGGAGUUUCGUCCCCUGGCUCUACUACUUCUUCUACUGCUCCCCACAGCCACGGCUCAUCUACCUCUCCAUCGUCUGUGUCCUGGGCAUCUCUGCCAUCAUUGUGACACAGUGGGACCAGUUUGCCACUCCUAAGCACUGGCAGACAAGAGCAGGAGUGUUCCUGGGACUUGGCUUGAGUGGUGUUGUACCCACCAUGCACUUUACUAUCACUGAGGGCUUUGUCAAGGCCACCACAGUGGGCCAGAUGGGCUGGUUCUUCCUCAUGGCUGUGAUGUAUAUCACCGGAGCUGGCCUUUAUGCUGCUCGGAUUCCUGAGCGCUUCUUUUCUGGAAAAUUUGACAUAUGGUUCCAGUCUCAUCAGAUUUUCCACUUCCUGGUGGUGGCAGCAGCUUUUGUCCACUUCUAUGGGGUGUCCAAUCUUCAGGAAUUUCGUUAUGGCCUAGAAGGUGGCUGUACCGACGACUCCCUUCUCUGAGCCUUCCCACCUGAGGGGUGGAGGAGGAACUUCCCAAGUGCUUUUUAAAAUAAACUUCUUUCCUGAAGUACGUACGAGGAAGAGUCUGAGUUGUCUGUUUCUAGAAGAAACCUCUUAGAGAAGUCAGUACCAGUGAGGCUUCAGCUAGCUGUCAAAGCCUCGGGGCAGUACACUUCCCAUGUGCAUUCCCUGCAGUCACCUCAGUAAGGCAACUGCUGCUCCUUCACAGAUAGGACGUGUGGGCUCAUGUUGAGAUUUUGCUCAUUCCUCCAGCCAUUUUGGGAGAAAAAUUAUGAACUGGGAUUCUUCAGAAAUUCUGUUUUGUUUUUUCUUGAAGAAAAUAUCCCUCCCUUACCCCCGUCCUUACUUUGUAACCUGGCUAAUAACGGGCCAUCCAGUUUUUGUAGCACACUUUUCAGAAACAAUUAUAACCUGGUCAAACAAAGCCACGCCUUGAUGUAGCCCGGCUAGUCAUGGAAGUAUGUCCAGGCUUCAAGUAACUUGAGUUUAAAUUUUUUUUCUUGGCAGAGUAAUGUAAAAUUAAAAUGGGGAAGAUAUUUAAUAUUUAAUACUAAGCUUUAAAAAGAAACCUGCUAUCACUGCUAUAUAUCUUGAUGCAAAUACUAUGGUGAUAAUAAAAGAAAGUACAGACA